CGGCGAGUGAAGCGGCAACAGCUCAAAUUUGAAAUCUGGCUCUUUCAGAGUCCGAGUUGUAAUUUGCAGAGGGCGCUUUGGCUUUGGCAGCGGUCCAAGAUUCCUUGGAACAGGACGUCACAGAGGGUGAGAAUCCCGUACGUGGUCGCUAGCUAUUGCCGUGUAAAGCCCCUUCGACGAGUCGAGUUGUUUGGGAAUGCAGCUCUAAAUGGGAGGUAAAUUUCUUCUAAAGCUAAAUAUUGGCCAGAGACCGAUAGCGCACAAGUAGAGUGAUCGAAAGAUGAAAAGCACUUUGGAAAGAGAGUCAAACAGCACGUGAAAUUGUUGAAAGGGAAGCGCUUGCAGCCAGACUUGCUUGCAGUUGCUCAUCCGGGCUUUUGCCCGGUGCACUCUUCUGCAGGCAGGCCAGCAUCAGUUUGGGCGGUGGGAUAAAGGUCUCUGUCAUGUACCUCUCUUCGGGGAGGCCUUAUAGGGGAGGCGACAUACCACCACAGCUAGACUGAGGUCCGCGCAUCUGCUAAGGAUGCUGGCGUAAUGGCCUGUA
rnacentral:rRNA from 1 species